rnacentral:rRNA from 1 species
GACGAACCGAGCGAACGUUGUUCGGAAUCACUGGGCUUAAAGGGCGCGUAGGCGGGCUGUCAAGUCUGGGGUGAAAUCCCGCGGCUCAACCGUGGAACUGCCUCAGAUACUGGGGAUCUCGAGUCCGGAAGAGGUUGGUGGAACUCCGAGUGUAGAGGUGAAAUUCGUAGAUAUUCGGAAGAACACCAGUGGCGAAGGCGGCCAACUGGUCCGGCACUGACGCUGAGGUGCGAAAGCGUGGGGAGCAAACAGG